rnacentral:tRNA from 1 species
GGGCGCUUGGUCUAGGGGUAUGAUUCUCGCUUCGCAUGUGAGCGGUCCGGGGUUCAAUUCCCCGAGUGUCCA